AUCACAUCAAAUCAUCCAACAGCCAUAGGUUCAGCUGUCAAACUUUAUUUUGCUCAACCUACAGGGUCCAAGAGGACCAUCUGGACAAAAGGGAGAGAAAGGAGCGGAUGGAGUGGACGGGAAAGACGGCUUUGUGGGGGAGACAGGUCCUCUGGGACAGAAAGGAGAUGCAGGAUCUUAUGGAUUACCUGGACAAAAGGGAGAGAUGGGACCACCUGGGGAGCUAGGGGUUCCUGGAAUGUCUGGAGCCAAUGGAGCCAAGGGGGAGCCUGGACCAAUGGGAGGGCCUGGAAAUAAGGGUGACCGAGGAGACGAUG